rnacentral:rRNA from 1 species
UACGGGGGGGGCAAGCGUUGUUCGGAAUUACUGGGCGUAAAGAGCGUGUAGGCGGCCAACUAAGUCCUGCGUGAAAUCUCGGGGCUCAACCCCGAGCGGUCGUGGGAAACUGGUUGGCUAGAGUGCGGGAGAGGAGAGUGGAAUUCCUGGUGUAGCGGUGAAAUGCGCAGAUAUCAGGAAGAACACCCGUGGCGAAGGCGGCUCUCUGGAACGCAACUGACGCUGAGACGCGAAAGCGUGGGGAGCAAACAGG